UACGUAGGGUGCAAGCGUUGUCCGGAAUUAUUGGGCGUAAAGAGCUCGUAGGCGGUUUGUCGCGUCUGCCGUGAAAACCUGGGGCUCAACCCCGGGCCUGCAGCCGAUACGGGCGGACUAGAAUUCGGUAGGGGAGACUGGAAUUCCUGGUGUAGCGGUGAAAUGCGCAGAUAUCAGGAGGAACACCGGUGGCGAAGGCGGGUCUCUGGGCCGAUAUUGACGCUGAGGAGCGAAAGCGUGGGGAGCGAACAGG
rnacentral:rRNA from 1 species